UACGUAGGGUGCGAGCGUUGUCCGGAAUUAUUGGGCGUAAAGAGCUUGUAGGCGGUUUGUCGCGUCUGCUGUGAAAUUUCGGGGCUCAACCCCGAACUUGCAGUGGGUACGGGCAGACUAGAGUGUGGUAGGGGGAGACUGGAAUUCCUGGUGUAGCGGUGGAAUGCGCAGAUAUCAGGAGGAACACCGAUGGCGAAGGCAGGUCUCUGGGCCAUUACUGACACUGAGAAGCGGAAAGCAUGGGGAGCGAACAGG
rnacentral:rRNA from 1 species